rnacentral:rRNA from 1 species
AGUGAACGCUGGCGGUAGGCCUAACACAUGCAGGUCGAACGGCAGCACAGGAGAGCUUGCUCUCUGGGUGGCGAGUGGCGGACGGGUGAGGAAUACAUCGGAAUCUACUCUGUCGUGGGGGAUAACGUAGGGAAACUUACGCUAAUACCGCAUACGACCUACGGGUGAAAGCAGGGGACCUUCGGGCCUUGCGCGAUUGAAUGAGCCGAUGUCGGAUUAGCUAGUUGGGGGGGUAAAGGCCCACCGAGGCGACGAUCCGUAGCUGGUCUGGGAGGGUGAUCAGCCACACUGGAACUGAGAACCGGUCCAGACUCCUACGGGAGGCAGCAGUGGGGAAUAUUGGACAAUGGGCGCAAGCCUGAUCCAGCCAUACCGCGUGGGUGAAGAAGGCCUUCGGGUUGUAAAGCCCUUUUGUUGGGAAAGAAAUCCAGCUGGCUAAUACCCGGUUGGGAUGACGGUACCCAAAGAAUAAGCACCGGCUAACUUCGUGCCAGCAGCCGCCGUAA